AUUGAACGCUGGCGGCAUGCCUUACACAUGCAAGUCGAACGGCAGCACGGGAGCAAUCCUGGUGGCGAGUGGCGAACGGGUGAGUAAAGUAUCGGAACGUGCCCAGUCGUGGGGGAUGACGUAGCGAAAGUUACGCUAAUACCGCAUACGAUCUAUGGAUGAAAGCGGGGGAUCGCCAGACCUCGCGCGAUUGGAGCGGCCGAUAUCAGAUUAGGUAGUUGGUGGGGUAAAGGCUCACCAAGCCGACGAUCUGUAGCUGGUCUGAGAGGACGACCAGCCACACUGGGACUGAGACACGGCCCAGACUCCUACGGGAGGCAGCAGUGGGGAAUUUUGGACAAUGGGCGCAAGCCUGAUCCAGCCAUGCCGCGUGCAGGAUGAAGGCCUUCGGGUUGUAAACUGCUUUUGUACGGAACGAAAAGGUUUGGCUUAAUACGUUGAACUCAUGACGGUACCGUAAGAAUAAGCACCGGCUAACUACGUGCCAGCCGCCGCGGUAA
rnacentral:rRNA from 1 species